rnacentral:rRNA from 1 species
AUUGAACGCUGGCGGCAGGCCUAACACAUGCAAGUCGAACGAGUGGCGGACGGGUGAGUCCAGUCUGGGAAACUGCCCGAUGGAGGGGGAUAACUACUGGAAACGGUAGCUAAUACCGCAAACCAUCGGACGUUCCCAGAUGGGAUUAGCUAGUUGGUGGGGUAACGGCUCACCUUGGCGACGAUCCCUAGCUGGUCUGAGAGGAUGACCAGCCAAGCUGGAACUGAGACACGGUCCAGACUCCUAGGGGAGGCAGCGGUGGGGAAUAUUGCACAAUGGGCGCAAGCCUGCUGCGGCCAUGCCGCGUGUAUGAGGAAGGCCUUCGGGUUGUAAAUUACUUUCAGCGAGGAGGCGUUACUCGCAGAAGAAGCACCGGCUAACUCCGUGCCAGCAGCCGCGGUAAUAC